CUGUCCUACGGGAGGCAGCAGUGGGGAAUAUUGCACAAUGGGGGAAACCCUGAUGCAGCGACGCCGCGUGGGCGAGGAAGUACCUCGGUAUGUAAAGCCCUAUCAGCAGGGAAGAAACAGGACAGUACCUGACUAAGAAGCCCCGGCUAACUACGUGCCAGCAGCCGCGGUAAUACGUAGGGAGCGAGCGUUGUCCGGAUUUACUGGGUGUAAAGGGUGCGUAGGCGGGUAAGCAAGUCAGAAGUGAAAUCCAUGGGCUUAACCCAUGAACUGCUUUUGAAACUGUUCAUCUUGAGUGAAGUAGG
rnacentral:rRNA from 1 species